rnacentral:rRNA from 1 species
GGAAUAUUGAGCAAUGGGCGCAAGCCUGACUCAGCAACGCCGCGUGGAUGAUGAAGGCCUUCGGGUUGUAAAAUCCUUUCCUGCGGGAAGAUAAUGACGGUACCGCAGGAAUAAGUUCCGGCUAACUACGUGCCAGCAGCCGCGGUAAAACGUAGGGGACAAGCGUUAGCCGGAACUACUGGGCGUAAAGCGCCCGUAGGCGGCCUUUCAAGUUGGAUGGGAAAGCUCCUGGCUUAACUGGGAGAGGUCAUUCAAAACUGGGGGGCUAGAGGAUGGAAGAGGAGAGCGGAAUUCGCGGUGUAGUGGUGGAAUGCGUAGAGAUCGGGAGGAACACCAGUGGCGAAAGCGGCUCUCUGGUCCGUACCUGACGCUGAGGGGCGAAAGCGUGGGGAGCGAA